rnacentral:rRNA from 1 species
GAUGAACGCUGGCGGCGUGCUUAACACAUGCAAGUCGAACGAUGAAGCCCAGCUUGCUGGGUGGAUUAGUGGCGAACGGGUGAGUAACACGUGAGUAACCUGCCCUUGACUCUGGGAUAAGCCUGGGAAACUGGGUCUAAUACCGGAUACGACCAUUGCCCGCAUGGGUUGGUGGUGGAAAGCUUUUGUGGUUUUGGAUGGACUCGCGGCCUAUCAGCUUGUUGGUGAGGUAAUGGCUCACCAAGGCGACGACGGGUAGCCGGCCUGAGAGGGUGACCGGCCACACUGGGACUGAGACACGGCCCAGACUCCUACGGGAGGCAGAAGUGGGGAAUAUUGCACAAUGGGCGAAAGCCUGAUGCAGCGACGCCGCGUGAGGGAUGACGGCCUUCGGGUUGUAAACCUCUUUCAGUAGGGAAGAAGCGAGAGUGACGGUACCUGCAGAAGAAGCGCCGGCUAACUACGUG